GAUGAACGCUGGCGGCGUGCCUAAUACAUGCAAGUCGAGCGAACGGACGAGAAGCUUGCUUCUCUGAUGUUAGCGGCGGACGGGUGAGUAACACGUGGAUAACCUACCUAUAAGACUGGGAUAACUUCGGGAAACCGGAGCUAAUACCGGAUAAUAUUUUGAACCGCAUGGUUCAAAAGUGAAAGACGGUCUUGCUGUCACUUAUAGAUGGAUCCGCGCUGCAUUAGCUAGUUGGUAAGGUAACGGCUUACCAAGGCAACGAUGCAUAGCCGACCUGAGAGGGUGAUCGGCCACACUGGAACUGAGACACGGUCCAGACUCCUACGGGAGGCAGCAGUAGGGAAUCUUCCGCAAUGGGCGAAAGCCUGACGGAGCAACGCCGCGUGAGUGAUGAAGGUCUUCGGAUCGUAAAACUCUGUUAUUAGGGAAGAACAUAUGUGUAAGUAACUGUGCACAUCUUGACGGUACCUAAUCAGAAAGCCACGGCUAACUACGUGCCAGCAGCCGCGGUAAUACGUAGGUGGCAAGCGUUAUCCGGAAUUAUUGGGCGUAAAGCGCGCGUAGGCGGUUUUUUAAGUCUGAUGUGAAAGCCCACGGCUCAACCGUGGAGGGUCAUUGGAAACUGGAAAACUUGAGUGCAGAAGAGGAAAGUGGAAUUCCAUGUGUAGCGGUGAAAUGCGCAGAGAUAUGGAGGAACACCAGUGGCGAAGGCGACUUUCUGGUCUGUAACUGACGCUGAUGUGCGAAAGCGUGGGGAUCAAACUGGAUUAGAUACCCUGGUAGUCCACGCCGUAAACGAUGAGUGCUAAGUGUUAGGGGGUUUCCGCCCCUUAGUGCUGCAGCUAACGCAUUAAGCACUCCGCCUGGGGAGUACGACCGCAAGGUUGAAACUCAAAGGAAUUGACGGGGACCCGCACAAGCGGUGGAGCAUGUGGUCUAAUUCGAAGCAACGCGAAGAACCUUACCAAAUCUUGACAUCCUUUGACAACUCUAGAGAUAGAGCCUUCCCCUUCGGGGGACAAAGUGACAGGUGGUGCAUGGUUGUCGUCAGCUCGUGUCGUGAGAUGUUGGGUUAAGUCCCGCAACGAGCGCAACCCUUAAGCUUAGUUGCCAUCAUUAAGUUGGGCACUCUAAGUUGACUGCCGGUGACAAACCGGAGGAAGGUGGGGAUGACGUCAAAUCAUCAUGCCCCUUAUGAUUUGGGCUACACACGUGCUACAAUGGACAAUACAAAGGGCAGCGAAACCGCGAGGUCAAGCAAAUCCCAUAAAGUUGUUCUCAGUUCGGAUUGUAGUCUGCAACUCGACUACAUGAAGCUGGAAUCGCUAGUAAUCGUAGAUCAGCAUGCUACGGUGAAUACGUUCCCGGGUCU
rnacentral:rRNA from 1 species